CCUACGGGAGGCAGCAGUGGGGAAUAUUGGGCAAUGGAGGAAACUCUGACCCAGCAAUGCCGCGUGAAUGAAGAAGGUCUUCGGAUUGUAAAGUUCUUUAGUCAGGGAAGAGUAAAAUGACGUUACUUGAGGAUUAAGCUCCGGCUAAUUACGUCCCAGCAGCCGCGUGAAUACGUAGGGUGCAAGCGUUGUUCGGAAUGACUGGGCGUAAAGGGUGCGUAGGCGGUUAUACAAGUUAGAAGUGAAAUACCCAGGGCUGAACUCGGGUGCUGCUUCUAAAACUGUAAGACUUGAGUGCCGUAGAGGUUAGUGGAAUUCCUAGUGUAGCGGUGGAAUGCGUAGAUAUUAGGAGGAACACCAGAGGCGAAGGCGGCCAGCUGGACUGCAACUGACGCUGAGGCACGAAAGUGUGGGGAGCAAACAGGAUUAGAUACCCUUGUAGUC
rnacentral:rRNA from 1 species